ACUGUUCUAAGGGCUUUUGGACAGGCAGUUGUGAAAUUUUCCCCCAGAAGAAUCUCUGGGGACCCAGUUGUCACACACCGCUGGAUUCACUGCGGUGUUGAUUCUGCCUCCUGAUGAAGUUCUUCCCGAGUCUGACUUCGAGCCCGCCUGCUUUAUUAAGCACGUUUUUCUCCAGUCGUUUUUUUUUUUUUUUAAUGGAAAAAGGAACAGGGAGAAGGCUUUUCUCGAACCUGUUUGCAGAGAGCCGUCUUGCCCGCUUUGAGGGCCCUUUCUUGGGAGACCUGUUUGCUUUGUUCAACCUCUGAAUUCAGCAGACCCCAAAUCCACCAAGGCCACUAGCUUGUGAGUGAAUGUGGUCCCUUCAGGUAAGGGCCAGACAGCCCCUGCCAGGGCUUGGGGAGGGUUUUCCUAGAGGAAUCCUGGCAGUAAAAAAACCAACCCCCAAACUCUCCAAGUGCUGGACGCUGGAGAAUCCCAGCAAGGAAAAGGAACAAAUCUUAUCUCAUGCCGGAAGAUAACCUCUUCCCUUUGUUGGCGCCUUUCCUUGCGUUCAGGAUGAAUUAAAAUUCUUAUCUGCUCUGCAUCCAGUGAACUUGGCCUCGCCUUCCUGAUUGUUUGCUGCGGCUGACUUUCCCAAGCUUUGCGGGGUUAUUUUUGCCUCUGGGUGGUGGUCAUUCCUUCCUUCCAUGGCAUUUGGUUCCACACAGUCACAGAAAAAGAGUAAUUUAGCAAACACCCUCAAAAUGGCAGGACUGGCCCCCAAAACCUACUUUCAUUUUCCUCUGUUCUGGGUUGUGGGUAAUUUCUUGACAACUACAAGAAAGAAGACAAUGAGAAAUGAAUUGUUUUUUCCAAUACGAUUGUGAACAGAUGUAUAACCUCCUAGUCGCAGCAACGUUCUAGGAAUCCCUUACACCACUUUAAAGGGGCAGGAAAAUGGGCAGAGGUGCUGAGGGCUGGGUGAGUGCUAAGCAUUGGCAGGGCUCAGCCUCAUCCUGACGAGAGCUGCAGCCAUAACCUGGGUCACCUUUGCUGUCUCGGGCUUCUAAAUUUGGCAGCGAGAACAGACUCGCUUCCUUUGAGCAAUUGAUCUGAAUAGCAGAAUCCCAUUCUGAUGGUCCGAAUCACAUUUACAGGCUGUGGGGGUGAAGGCCGUGCUAAUUGGCCACUUGCCUCACCACUGGCUUUGAAACAAUCGCUUGUAUUCUCUGCGCGGCAGGAAGCAGCAGACCCAUCAAGGCCCUGGGCUCACUCUUUGUUCUGACUUUAUGGCAUUUUAUGCCACAAUAAGAAACACUGUGUACUCCGUGGGAGCCCAUUGUGCCAGGCUGCAAGGAUGUGGGCUCCGGUGCAGAGGGCCUGGUGCUCUUCCCCAGGAAGAAGAGGGGCUUUGUGACAGGCUGGGGGACAAAACAAGGGGUGCUGGACACUGUUACUGAGGCAACUGCCUGGCCAGUGUGGAGGCAGCUUUAGUCCCUGGGACCGUUUCUGUGCCCAAGGAGAGGGAGGGCAGGGGAAGGAUGGAAUUUCAUCUAGAGUAGCAGGUCCUGGUUGCCUGGUAAAUUAUGCAUCAGGACUGGGCUAGCCACUGCCUCCGUUUUCUCUGGGCUCCUGAGAUAACCUCCACCUGCCUCUAGAUUCUGUGCCAGCUGAUCGUUAUCUAUCUCAUCAACUCUUGUUCCAUCAGGAAACUGCAUCUUGGUGGAUGAUGAACCAAUAAACCUGGACACAAUCUCCCGAAUAACACCACACAUGCCAACAAAUGACAUCAGCAUUCCAGAAUGUAAGCGGCUGGAAUCUGAUGAAGAUAAGAACUAACGAAAAUCCCACAUGAGUCAUGCUAAUAUACACAAAGAGGGCUCAAAUUCCAAGAAUCAAUUUCCAGAUCAGUAAGCCAAGAUCAGAGCAUGGUAAACACCUAUCAUAAAUGAAAUGGUAGAAUCCUGACAUGGUGUUUAAUGAUGGCUUUACAAAGUAUCACAUUUCAUAGCUGUGAACUAUCCCCAAAUCAUCUCACAAAAAAGGAAAGAUCAAAGAAAAGGGCAAUUCAGAAAAGAUCUUAUUUCUCUCUCUCUCUUGCAUGAAAAAGAGCACAUAAAAUAGAAGCAGUGGUUACCCCAGCGUGGCCCUUCAGAGAACCGAGGUAACUAUGGUAACUAAGAACGGUCUUUUAGUUCGCAAGGUUCGAAUUCUAGAACUGUUGGUUGGAUUUGGGGUAAGUCCCAUAAGGGAGAGCUGCGAACUUCAAGUGUGGACUGGUUCAUUCUCUAGGGAGAUAGCAACCUUUUCCUAAAAAAUCUUGGUUCUUCAUUGCUGGAGAGAAGAACAAGCCCUGUGAAGCAGUCAGAGAUCCUUAUACCCAGCAGACUUAAGGGUGUGGUAUUCAAGGAAAAAAACACUUUGGGAAAUAGAGAAGAAACUGAUCAGGAACACCAGACUUUUCUUUAUAAAUACGUAUAUUUUAAGAGCAACAAAACAGAGACAAUUUUCUCAAAAUAAGCAACCACUAAAAUGUCAAGGAAGGACCCAUUUAUGACUUAAAAUUCCCAUGGCUCUCUAACGAAAGCAAUGCUAAUUUUGGCCUUGGGAAAGUGGAAAAAAUAUAUAAUUAUGAAAAGUCCUCACCUUUCUUGCAAUUUCUUGAGUUUCUCAGGGUCUGCCUUUAUCUUACUGGUUUCCUUUUCAUCUGUGAAACCAGAGGCUGCCAUCCUGCUCCCAUUAUCAUUUUGAUUUGGGAAAUGAGACACUGCAAAGAAAGUAAAUGGUGUAUUUUCUUGCAGAGACCCAGACACAUGCAAAUGGCCUUCUGAGUUCAUUCUUGAUGGAGAGGAGCUGGAAGAAUCCACUAAGGACAAAUUGCCCUGUGGAUUUAGUAAGAGAUCUGUAUAUAGUGGAGCCCCCUGAGGCUGGCUUGUUAAAGUAGUAUCUUCUGCUUCCCUGACAGCAAAUUCGUGUGCACUGUUUACUGGGAAAUAAUUAUGGUUUUCGGCACUGGCAAAUGGAGUCCUAUUUCUAAUGGGAGACAGUGGUUGGCAAACAUGAAACCCUGAGUUUCCCUCUGAGUCUGAGCUGUGAACUGAAGUCGAUGACAUUGACAAGUCUACUGGAAUAUCAUCUCUCAGAGCAGAAUGCAUGAAUGAUGCAGGAGGGUUAUAGGAUGAAUUCACUGAUGAUCUUGGAGAUAUUGGUCUGCCAGAAAUAAAGUAGUCAAGAGAAUUUUGAGAACUGUUUAAAUAGUCUUUCCAGUAUCCUUCAGAAUCAUGGGUGCCAGGCCUAUGUUCCACAGAAAUACAAUCACUCCAUACAUUUUCAGCAUUGACACCAACCUCUUGUCUGGGCUCGGAUUUGGUGUCCCACGAAAGAGGGCUCUUUUUCGCAUUUUCACUGCCACCUCUGUCCUUCUCUGUAGCAGAUUCCCUAUCAGGCAGCCCGGGGUCUUGGGACAACCUUUGCCCAGCAGAAGGCCGCUCUGUUGCUGGCUCCAUUGCAUUGCUUAUUCUCAAUGAGCCAUGACUGGGCUCACUUCUUCUUGAAGAAUGACCUCUGCAAUUUUCAGCAUUUUCUUCAAAAUUUUUAUUUUUGGCCUGAGGGGUCGAUGUCCCCCCAAAUCUACUUCUUUUGUGAUGGGAAGGAGAACAGGGUGAGCGCACACCAACCCACAGACAUUCUUCAGACUGGGUUUCCUCUUCAGUGUCAUCGCUUUCUCUUCUGCUGUUCAAUGACAAAAUGGAAUAAAAGUCUUCAUCUCGGAACCUAAAUGAUGCCUUUCUUGGCCCUCCUACAGUGGUGGGUGUGAGUGGUGGCCCCGAGAACUCACUCAAUACUUGAGGACUAUUUUUUCCUUGGAAGGCCUGGGACAGGGCUGGAUGCAGCUCACUCUGGGAAGGAGCACUCGGGUCUCCUUUUUUGGCUCUAUCAGGGGCGUUCUCAGUCAUUGGCUGUGACGAUGGGACCAAGUUUCUUCUCUCUUGAUUUGGCCUCUUCAGCUUAGUGUUACACAUCAGGCCUUCUUGUUGAACUACUUGAUCUGCAUUGAGAAAAGACACAUUUAUCGUUCCAGUAAAAGGGCCCAUGGAUGAAAGGCCUCUAGCACCAAGUGCAAAAUUGCCCUUUAAAUGCAACAGACAAGACCUAGAGAAGAAAACAGACACGGUCAAAAUGGCUGGAGGUACAAGAGGAGCAGAGCCCAGCAGGCUUCAUUUUACUGCCCCGUAUUCUCCUUUGUACCCCUGUGGUCCUAGGGAAAUGGGGGGACCCUGAGGAUACAGAUUCUUUCUGCAGAAGCUCCCGGAAGACUGGCCCAGCCCCAGCCAGUCAGGACUGAUGAUGCGCAAACCUCACACUAAAUACUGGCUUUUGUUCCAUACGUACUGAAAGGGAAAACCACCACUCUGGGAAUGACUUCUACAAAAACCACCAGCCCUUUCUCAUCCACGUUCAUUCAAUGUACAUUUAUGACACCCUGCCUCCCACGCAGCUUUACAAGAACUUAAGAGAAGUAUAACAUGUCUUGGCAGAUCAGGAGGAAGGCUAUAGGAGCUGGCGCCCGGGGAACACUGGGGAUUUUGGUCAUGUUUACUAUUUAGUGAAAAUAAAAAUUAUAAAUCGCU
rnacentral:lncRNA from 1 species